rnacentral:rRNA from 1 species
AUUGAACGCUGGCGGCAAGCCUAACACAUGCAAGUCGAACGAGUGGCGGACGGGUGAGUAAUGGCUGGGAAACUGCCUGAUGGAGGGGGAUAACUACUGGAAACGGUAGCUAAUACGGCAUACCAUCGGAUGUGCCAAGAUGGGAUUAGCUAGUAGGUGGGGUAAAGGCUCACAUAGGCGACGAUCCCUAGCUGGUCUGAGAGGAUGACCAGCCACACGGGAACUGAUACACGGUCCAACCUCCUACGCGCGGCAGCAGUGUGUAAUCUUGCACAAUGGGCGCAAUCCUGAUGCAGCCAUGCCGCGUGUAUGAAUACUGCCUUCGGGUUGUAAAGUACUUUCAGCGGGGAGGCUUUACCCGCAGAAGAAGCACCGGCUAACUCCGUGCCAUCAGCCGCGGUAAUAC